ensembl:lncRNA LINC02907 long intergenic non-protein coding RNA 2907
CUCCAGCCAGGGCUGAGUGGCAGUGUGGGCACCGCGGCCCGGGACGACAGCCUGGGCUCAGAGUCAGGCUUGUGGCUUCGCCUCUCAGCUUGCGUCUCCUCCCCUGUGGGAUGGGGGAUUCCGUGGCACCCCCAUGAUGAACAGGAUGCCAUGGGCCUCAGCCCAGGGCAGACCUCAGUGUCCUUCCUGUGGCCGCUGCUGGAGGUGCGUGACCACAACACAGGGAGGGGACUCGUCCCCGCCACUGUGCUGACGCCUGGGUCUCCAGAGACCCUCCUGGAACUCCGCCAGGCCUUCCUGGGUUCCAGACAGGCCCGCCACGGGCAUGACGCAGCGCCAUCUAGCGGACAGCAGGGCUGCAGCGUGGACAGAACGGCCGGACGCCCAGUCCUGGGCUGGCGGCUGAGGAACAGCCUCACAGGGCAAGAGGGCAGGCAACACCUGCAUCUUUCCGGCAUAAGAACCUCAAGAAAAGCAAAGGAAUAUAAGCCUGUGUUCUUUGGAGCCACCGAAAUCUCUGUUCUCAUGGCAGUCGCUGAAAGUUUAAGGGAGCCGCCACCGCCCCAAUGGGGUUGGUUUCUUUCUUCCCUGUUUUUAAAGAUCUUUUAAAAUGUCUAGAGAGACCCUGGGAUCCAGUGCUGGACGGAUGAUGCAGGGCCACACAGAGAGGCUAUUGUGUGUCACUUGCUGGGUUAGGAACAGACGGAUCAGGGCUUCUAUGCUGCGUCUGCCUGGUCCUGGGAGAGAGAAACUCACACAACCAUCUGCCUGGAAGACCUGGGCUUCUCAGGCUAGAGGGUCUGCACAUGUAGGUGUGUGUGCAUGCAUACAUAUGCCUGCGUGUGGAUGUCUGUGCUUCACACAAACAAGUGUACUUGUGGGCAUAUGUGUGUGUGUGCCUGCAUGUGCAGCUCUGGGUAUGUGUGUGUGCGCAUGCCCCUGAGUCUCUCUGCAUGUGAUGCAUUUGUGCAUGUGUGUGCCUGUGUGCCCGGGUCUGUGUCUAUAUAUAUGCAUGCAUGGAUAUGCAUACGUAUGUGCAUUUCUGCACAUGUGUGCGUAUGCCUGUAUGUGCCUGGCUAUGUGCACACACAUGUGAAUGUCUGAGCAGCUCCAGAGGGAGGGCCACCACCCUGCAUGGUGGACAUUAGUUUGAGCCUGUGAGGACCAGUGUCCCCCAAAGCCCCUCAACUACAGCCCAGCCCAACCCAACCCGGAGCAGAUCACAGGCCCCAGAGACAUCUCCAACCCUCACACAUGGUUCCCAAACCCGGGCUAUCCUUCACUCUGCAGGGGCGGGCCAGCCCUGCCCACUGCCAGGGACCCGCUCCAAGGCGCCUGCAGGAGGGCUGUGGGCGACAGUGUGGGCGCCCACCAGCAGGAGGGCCUGUCAUGGUCUGUGCACGAAGCUGGUGCGCUGUCUUCUCCAGGAACUCGCACCUUCGCUCCCCCUCCCCUGCCAGCCAACACUUUCAGGUUUCUGCCAUAAAAGAGAAAAAAAUCUCCCUCCCUCUCUACCCGCUCCGCGCCUGCUCCUUCUCCACUUUUUGCAGAUCAAACAGCAUGCAUGGAGUCGAGCCUGCUGGCUCUGUUCCGAGCUGCACUUUGGGCAUCCGUGGGCUGCCUUGCUCCUUGUGGGGUGGCUUCAAGAGCAGGUCCCAGGUGUGCCUGCAGCAGUGCCGACACCCCUGAGAACACAGCGCACCCCAGCUUUCGGCGCCAACCACACAGCCAGCAACUGGGCUUGGAAGCUUCCCUGAGGUCGACGCUGCCUGGAAAUGGACUUUGCUGCCUGCAUUCAGGCCAGGGGCCAUGUUUGCUCCCCCAUUACAAGUUGGCCUCAUAUUAACAUGUCUGAGGACUAAGGCUGGUAUUCUAGAACACGCCUUUCACUGAUUGUGUUAAAUAAAAGAGAAAGAUGAAAAAA